CGACACGUUGGUUCCAACAAUUUCAACUUGUUUAGCAGCCGUAGUCACACAAUAUUUACCUUGAUGAUUGAAAGUAGUGCUCAUGGAGACGAAUAUGAUGGAGUGGUCUUCUCACAGCUUAACUUGAUUGAUUUAGCUGGAUCUGAGAGUUCUAAAACUGAAACAACGGGAUUGCGGAGAAAGGAAGGAUCAUAUAUCAACAAAAGUCUUCUGACUCUUGGAACUGUCAUUGGAAAGUUGAGUGAAGGGAAGUCAUCUCAUGUUCCUUACCGGGAUUCUAAACUUACUCGGCUGCUCCAGACUUCACUGAGUGGGCAUGGACAUGUGUCUCUCAUAUGUACUGUUACUCCUGCAUCAAGCAAUAUGGAGGAAACACACAAUACACUGAAGUUUGCAAGCAGGGCUAAACGUGUGGAGAUUUAUGCAUCACGCAACAAGAUUAUUGAUGAGAAAUCCCUGAUUAAGAAAUAUCAAAGGGAAAUAUCAUGUCUCAAAGAAGAGCUUGAUCAACUAAGAAGUGGGAUGCUUGUCGG
rnacentral:misc_RNA from 1 species